UGUCAGCCGCCGCGGUAAUACGGAGGGUGCAAGCGUUAAUCGGAAUUACUGGGCGUAAAGCGCAUGUAGGCGGUUUGAUCAGUCGGAUGUGAAAUCCCCGAGCUUAACUUGGGAAUGGCAUUCGAAACUGUCAGGCUAGAGUAGAUUAGAGGAGAGGGGAAUUCCGCGUGUAGCAGUGAAAUGCGUAGAUAUGCGGAGGAACACCAAUGGCGAAGGCACCUCUCUGGGAUCAUACUGACGCUGAGAUGCGAAAGCGUGGGGAGCAAACAGGAUUAGAUACCCUGGUAGUCCACGCCCUAAACGAUGUCGACUAGUUGUUGAAGGGUUUAACCUUUCGGUGACGCAGCUAACGCAUUAAGUCGACCGCCUGGGGAGUACGGCCGCAAGGUUGAAACUCAAAGAAAUUGACGG
rnacentral:rRNA from 1 species